AUGCUUUAUAGAAGUUGGACCCUUUGAUGGCUUUUUACUUGCAGUUUUCCACAAUUCCCACUAUGAGGAUCUCAGUAAAGUCUCAUUGCCUUUACAGUGGUAUUUUGAUAAGUGCACUUACUUUGUUGUCAUGUCUUUGUCUUUCUACUCCAGUGCCUAUCUAAUUACCUGUCACAUAGUCAGAGCUCAAUAAUGCUUCCCAAAGCAUUCAUCUGCAUCAUUGCUCGGUACCUUAAUCUCUUCCUUCACGGUCUCUUGCAAAUAUUAUGUCAUAAUCUACCCACAAGCCACCAAGAAGUAGGUGGAAAAUGUUAUUCUCAUUUCACUGAUGGCAAAUAUCAGAUAAAAUAGGAACCACAUGAUUUACCUGUUAUAGGAAUAAAAGGGGGCAUAGGAAAAAUUUCAAUGUAAAAGUGAUUCUUCUGUUAGAUCUUGAAGGAUCCUGGUGACUAAAAAUCUCACCAAGGCAACACAAAAUUAAAACCACUUUAGCUAAAGGAAACCAAGGAGGCAAAGAAGUGGGAACCAUGGCCGGGUGUGAUGGCUCAUGCCUCUAAUCCCAGCACUUUGGGAAGCUGAGGUGAGCAGAUCACUUGAGGUCAGGAAUUCUAGACCAGCCUGGCCAACAUGGUGAAACCCCCUCUCUACUAAAAAUACAAAAAGUCCAGGCAUGGUGGUGCAUGCUUGUAAUCCCAGCUACUCAGGAGGCUGAGGCAUGAGAAUUGCUUGAACCCGGGAGGCAGAAGUUGCAGUGAGUCAAGAUUGCACCACCACACUCCAGCCCGGGCAACAGAGUGAGGCUCUGUC
rnacentral:lncRNA from 1 species